rnacentral:lncRNA from 1 species
ACCGAUCGAACCACUACCUCCAGAUCUGCCGCAACCGCCGCUGUGCUGCCGUUGCAGCGCCGCACCGAGCUGCCACCGCUGAGCGUCGCUGCCUCUGUCGAGCGUCGCCGCUUCUGCCGCUCCGCCGCUCAGAUCCAACGCCCCCUUGCCUUUCCGGUCGGACGCUCCACCGCCUUAUCCGAGUCGCUCGCCUUUUGGAUCGGGACUCGGGAUUUGUUUCAACAAGAGAGGGAGAGCCGGAGAGGUGGGAGGCGAGGAGGUUUUGACGGAGAGAGAGAGAGAGAGAGAGAGCCAGGUCCAUGGAGGGUUCAACGCGACGAAGGGAGAGACGAGGAGGUUCCCUUGACGGCUUGACGCCCUGACCCCAUCCCAUCUCAUUAAAUCACGCUGGACCAGUGGGCUAAGCAACCUGUGGGCUGUGGAGAUAGGUAGUAAACAACAGCUAUUGCUUUCCUUUGGGCCGAGGCUUGGGCCGGCCCUGUUUGAUCCAAUCCAACCCAUAUAUUAAAUGGGUUAAACGGGUCAGACAUUUAAAAUAUGUAUCCGACCUAAUUAAUAAACAGGUUAAACGGGUCAAUCUGUUCAUGACCCGAACCUAUUUAAGCCAAACCCGAACCUGUUUAUGGCGGGUCGAACAUGGGUCGGGUUGGCGGGUCGAGUCAUAUUUUGCCAUCCCUAUCGAUAGUGUAGCUGAGCCUCCCUUCAUAAAUUGCACGAGCACAAAUCUUAUGAAAAUACAUUGGCCCGUCAGAUUCACACACACACACACACACACACACACACAUAUAUAUAUAUAUAUUUGCUAAAGCGGAUGUAUCAUAUAUGGCGGGUAUGAAUACAUACCAAAAAAGUCAAAAGAUAACAAGUUCCGGAUAGGAUCUCCUUCAGAUUCACAUACUUGGCAAACCACACCAUAAUUCAUCACAUUGGUCGUUUGGAUCAAGAAAUGACCUACAAUUCCAUCCGUUCGUUCCCUUUUUUUUUUCCACUAAAAUGAGUAUUUCAUCCAACACGGAUACGAAUAUACCCAAUAAAAUUAGAAAACCAUCCGUCGUUCCCUUCGUCAUUGCUAUUGUAUUAUAAUUCGGCAAUGGCACCUGCAUGGACAAAAGAGAGGGAUGAUGAAGGUUGAAGCUUGGGGGCAGAAGAUGAUCAGACCAGGCGAAGGAGAGGAGGCAUUGAUAGGCUUGUCGUAGCAACCUGAAGUAGAUGAUGACGCCUUCUACAGCGAUGGGCAGUGGGAGGCAUUGAUGCCGCGCCAUCUCCCGGAGUUUCGCUGCCACCUAUAAAAUAAGCAAUAGUGCUUUAGAUAAUCUGCGUUUGAGUGCCCUGUCCCCCACCAAAAGAAAAUGGUGCCACAAACUACUGGAGGCGUAGAAAUACUACCAAUCUACUAUAUUGCCGUUUGUAUCGCUGGCAUAUGUCAUGUAUUCUGGGAAGGGUUUACAUAUGGACCAGGGCUUGGGCUGGACACAGAUAGAUAGGCAGGUGGGCGUACUCGGAUUGAGGUGCAUGGAUUCACCAUUUAUUUAUGGUAAAACGGAUAGAUUAUAUAUUUCUAGUAUGAAUACAUUUCAUAUGGUCAAAAAUCAAAGUGUGGCUCUGUAAGGUAAAUUGAGAAUACAUGCAUGUAUUUAGAAUAAUAAAUAAUCAUCAUGUAUUUAAAGAACUUCGCUAGAGUGCUCUGCCACAAACAAGGUGAUCCUAUUUACCAUUUAUUUCAAGACUCCAAGCAAACACAUGUUUAGUGAGGUUUCGUUUCAGAUGGCAUGGGUUACCAUGGUUGUGCAUAAUUAAACAUGAUCUCGGAGCAUUCUGAUGCAAAUUAAGUAUAACGUAUAUUGGACCUAAUAUGACUUGCACAUACCAUGCUUGGACUGCAGAGAGUAACAGAAGAAGAAUAAAACAAACUUAAUCUUCAAAAGAGUAAAUAGCAGAAGGGCAGAACUUGGAUAUCAAAUUAAAAUUUCUUUUAAUCAAUCAUAGUUUAAGUUUUACUAAUAUUAAAAUGAAAAUGCUUCGCUUUGAAUCACAGGCAAAGUUGGCAUUUUGACCCUUAUUAAACCAUCUAUCUGACUCCUUGGCGCGAGAAAAAAGAAACAAGGUUUACAUCCAUUUUGGGGAGUUCUUGGGUCGACAGAACAUCGUCCUAUUAAGAAAUGAUAGGCAUGCACGUCAGGAAAAAUGGAGAUUUGUUUACAGAAGCGGAAAAGUAAAAGAAAAAUACGUUCAUAUAAAAGGAUUUAGUCUUACUGCUUGGAAAGUAGCAAACAUCUUCUUACCUGGUUUGUAUGAUCUUACAUACAUUUAAUUGGCCAUUGCUUGGCCAUCAUCCUCACGAGCAACAAAGGUGCCAAAUCUUUCAUGGUCGAGCCGUUCGUGAGGAUCCUUGAUUAAUUCUCGUCUCCUUCCACCUUUCUUGAAGAGAUGGUUAGAAUUUGAUGAGAGCCGCAUAGAGGGCUACAAGGUACCUAGGAGGGAUUGCUGGACCUUGUUAUUAGGUAUGGAUGGUAUGGCACAUAUUUGGAGAGAUCGAAGGCUAUAUUGAUGCAUGAAUUUGGUUGUGGGCAUGCCAAUACCCAUUGAGGCAAGGGAUCGGGAGGUUGUGGUAUCAUUGUGAUGGAAGGGUUGCU